AGAGUUUGAUCCUGGCUCAGAUUGAACGCUGGCGGCAUGCCUUACACAUGCAAGUCGAACGGCAGCACGGGAGUAAUCCUGGUGGCGAGUGGCGAACGGGUGAGUAAUACAUCGGAACGUGUCCUGUAGUGGGGGAUAGCCCGGCGAAAGCCGGAUUAAUACCGCAUACGAUCUACGGAAGAAAGCGGGGGAUCGCAAGAACCUCGCGCUAUAGGGGCGGCCGAUGGCAGAUUAGCUAGUUGGUGGGGUAAAGGCCUACCAAGGCGACGAUCUGUAGCUGGUCUGAGAGGACGACCAGCCACACUGGGACUGAGACACGGCCCAGACUCCUACGGGAGGCAGCAGUGGGGAAUUUUGGACAAUGGGGGAAACCCUGAUCCAGCAAUGCCGCGUGUGUGAAGAAGGCCUUCGGGUUGUAAAGCACUUUUGUCCGGAAAGA
rnacentral:rRNA from 1 species